CCUCACCACCGUCUCGUUCCUCUCUCUGCUGCACCGCACCCCACUCUCUCACCUCACCACCGUCUCCUUCCUCUCUCUGCUGCACUACUGUAGCAGUGUUGCCCUCGCUCCCGCCGUCGCUUCGCUUUCUGUUAUAUUUGGCUAUUCAUUUGAAGAUUGAUGUCGAUGAAGAUGAUUUUUUGUUGUUUAUCAGACUAUUUGGGGGGGUUUUUUUUGCAGCAUUUGUAUGAGUUUAAACAACUAUUCUGGGUUGAUGCAUGAUACUUUGAGCUUGAUGAGGAUGAUUUGAUGGUGCUUCGGUUUUGGCUUUGGCUUGGCACUUUUUGAUGCAGCUAACCGAAGUUGAUGAGCUUUAUUUAUGUUUGGUUAUGGCUAUGAGUACAUGCAUGUGUAUAUCCAUAUCCAGAUGGUUUGUUUAUGUACUAUCAACUAGCAACAUGUUUGAACAUUUGUUCUUUGUACUAGAGUUGGGGGCAUUUAUAUACUGUCAGUCGACAACAUUUUACA